CCUACGGGAGGCACCAGUGGGGAAUAUUGCACAAUGGGCGCAAGCCUGAUGCAGCCAAGCCGCGUGUAUGAAGAAGGCCUUCGGGUUGUAAAGUACUUUCAGCGAGGAGGAAGGCGUUAAGGUCAAUAACCUUGGCGAUUGACGUUACUCGCAGAAGAAGCACCGGCUAACUCCGUGCCAGCAGCCGCGGUAAUACGGAGGGUGCGAGCGUUAAUCGGAAUUACUGGGCGUAAAGCGCACGCAGGCGGUCUGUCAAGUCGGAUGUGAAAUCCCCGGGCUCAAACUGGGAACUGCAUUCGAAACUGGUAGGCUAGAGUCUUGUAGAGGGGGGUAGAAUUCCAGGUGUAGCGGUGAAAUGCGUAGAGAUCUGGAGGAAUACCGGUGGCGAAGGCGGCCCCCUGGACAAAGACUGACGCUCAGGUGCGAAAGCGUGGGGAGCAAACAGGAUUAGAUACCCCGGUAGUC
rnacentral:rRNA from 1 species